rnacentral:lncRNA from 1 species
CACCUUUGGACCUGGAUAAAGCUUAGAGAAUCCAUUGUAUACCUACGUGCCCAUAUGAUUUUGCAUAUGGAAAUAAACAAGCAAGAAAAUAACAAGAUCUAGAAGAAUGAUCCAUAUAAGCGUAUUACCAGAUCCAAUCUCUGCUACAUGUAGCUUCAAUCAUUUUACUUGUAUAUGGUUGUGCUUGAUCUGUUCCAUGGCUGAAAGGUGGGGUGAGCAAGAGAAGAAGAGUUCAAGGGCCUGGAGUCCAUGGUUGUUUGUAGUUUUGACCCUUUCCACUUACAUAUGCCAUAUGUUUCUGUAAAUGAUUUCAACUGUUUUCAUAGCUGAACAUCUGUUUUCACCUAUUCCUUCUUCUUUUUUUUAAAGGUCUGCACAUGUUCUCUGCAUCUAAUAUUCUGAUUGAAAAUUUUAGAGAGCUACACGUUGAAAGCCUAAGAAAGCUGAAAGCUAGCUUCCAACUGCUAUGUUCGGUAAACACAACUUUUGGAUAUGCUUGUCAAAGGUUGAGAUUUUAAUGCCAGUUUUGACCCUUCAAC